AAACGUAGGAGGCAAGCGUUAUCCGGAUUCACUGGGCGUAAAGCGCGUGCAGGCGGUUCGGUAAGUUGGGCGUGAAAUCUCUUGGCUUAACUAGGAGAGGUCGUUCAAUACUACCGGACUUGAGAGUGGUAGAGGAAGAUGGAAUUCCCGGUGUAGUGGUGAAAUGCGUAGAUAUCGGGAGGAACACCAGUGGCGAAAGCGAUCUUCUGGACCAUUUCUGACGCUCAGACGCGAAAGCUAGGGUAGUAAACGGGAUUAGAGACCCCGGUAAUCCUAGCCGUAAACGAUGUAAACUUGGCGUCGGUCGCUUAAACUCCGUCGGUGCCGCAGCUAACGCGAUAAGUUUACCGCCUGGGGACUACGAUCGCAAGAUUAAA
rnacentral:rRNA from 1 species